rnacentral:ncRNA from 1 species
GACGUGUUAGCGGGAGAGACCGUGCCACAAAGACUGUGUGACACGGCGCCGAAGGAGCAACUGCCCCGGAAACUCUCAGGCAAACGGACCGCUAACAUGCU